rnacentral:rRNA from 1 species
CCUACGGGUGGCAGCAGUGAGGAAUAUUGGUCAAUGGGCGUAAGCCUGAACCAGCCAUCCCGCGUGAAGGAAGAAGGCGCUAUGCGUCGUAAACUUCUUUUCCAGAGGAAUAAAAUUUCGUACGUGUACGGAACUGAAGGUACUUUGGGAAUAAGCAUCGGCUAACUCCGUGCCAGCAGCCGCGGUCAUACGGAGGAUGCGAGCGUUAUCCGGAUUUAUUGGUGUUAAGGGGUACGUAGAAGUCAGUGGUGAAAACCGUCAGCGUAACUGGAGAACUGCCAUUGAUACUGUGAGUCUUGAGUACGGUCAAGGUAGGCGGAAUGUGUAAUGUAGCGGUGAAAUGCUUAGAUAUUACACAGAACACCGAUUGCGAAGGCAGCUGACUGGGCCAUUACUGACGCUGAUGCACGAAAGCGUGGGGAGCGAACAGGAUUAGAUACCCCGGUAGUC